GGACCCGUGGAUUAGUGGUUAUAUCGCAUCCUUUACAUAUUCUUUCAAUUUCUUCAUUGAAUUCAAUAGUUUAAUAUCGGAUUAGGUCCCCGGUUCGACCCCGGGCGGGUUCA
rnacentral:tRNA from 1 species